AAUUCUCUUCGGAGUAUAGUAAGGUGGCGGACGGGUGAGUAACACGUAAAGAACUUGCCCUGCAGUCUGGGACAACUAUUGGAAACGAUAGCUAAUACCGGAUAUUAUGCGAGAGCCGCAUGGCUCUUUCAUGAAAGCUAUAUGCGCUGCAGGAGAGCUUUGCGUCCCAUUAGUUAGUUGGUGAGGUAACGGCUCACCAAGACCGCGAUGGGUAGCCGGCCUGAGAGGGUGAACGGCCACAAGGGGACUGAGACACGGCCCUUACUCCUACGGGAGGCAGCAGUGGGGAAUAUUGGACAAUGGACCAAAAGUCUGAUCCAGCAAUUCUGUGUGCACGAUGACGGUCUUAGGAUUGUAAAGUGCUUUCAAUCGGGAAAAAGAAAGUGAUGGUACCGAUAGAAGAAGCGACGGCUAAAUACGUGCCAGCAGCCGCGGUAAUACGUAUGUCGCAAGCGUUAUCCGGAUUUAUUGGGCGUAAAGCGCGUCUAGGCGGUCUGGUAAGUCUGAUGUGGAAAUGCGGGGCUCAACUCCGUAUUGCGUUGGAAACUGCCAGACUAGAGUACUGGAGAGGUGGGCGGAACUACAAGUGUAGAGGUGAAAUUCGUAGAUAUUUGUAGGAAUGCCGAUAGAGAAGUCAGCUCACUGGACAGAUACUGACGCUGAAGCGCGAAAGCAUGGGGAGCAAACAGGAUUAGAUACCCUGGUAGUCCAUGCCGUAAACGAUGAUUACUAAGCGUCGGGGGUCGAACCUCGGCACUCAAGCUAACGCGAUAAGUAAUCCGCCUGGGGAGUACGUACGCAAGUAUGAAACUCAAAGGAAUUGACGGGGACCCGCACAAGUGGUGGAGCAUGUGGUUUAAUUCGACGCAACGCGAGGAACCUUACCAGCGUUUGACAUCCCUAGGAAUGAGAAAGAGAUUUUUCAGUGCUCCUUCCGGGAGAACCUAGAGACAGGUGGUGCAUGGCUGUCGUCAGCUCGUGUCGUGAGAUGUUGGGUUAAGUCCCGCCCCGAGCGCAACCCCUAUUGUAUGUUGCCAUCAUUAAGUUGGGCACUCAUGCGAUACUGCCUGCGACGAGCAGGAGGAAGGUGGGGAUGACGUCAAGUCAUCAUGCCCCUUAUAUGCUGGGCUACACACGUGCUACAAUGGGCAGUACAGAGAGAAGCAAAUCUGCGAGGAGGAGCAAACCUCAGAAAGCUGUUCGUAGUUCGGAUUGUACUCUGCAACUCGAGUACAUGAAGUUGGAAUCACUAGUAAUCGCAAAUCAGCAAUGUUGCGGUGAAUACGUUCUCGGGUCUUGUACACACCGCCCGUCACACCACGAG
rnacentral:rRNA from 1 species